rnacentral:sRNA from 1 species
GCCAGGUGUGGUGGUGCACGUCUGUAAUCCCAGCUAAUUGGGAGCCUGAGGCAGGAGGAUGGCAUUUUCCAGGCCAGUCUGGGCAACUUAGCAAGACCCUGACUCAA